ensembl:lncRNA
CCUAGUUUAAAGUCAGGCUGAACGUUAGGAAUUGCACAUGCUGCUUUAAUUAUGGCAUGGAUGCAGUUUGACUUAAUCUCCAGGAUAUCAGUCAAUGCAGUGUUCUCUGAAGUGAUGGAAACAUGACUCUGCUUUGUGUGUGUGUGUUCUCCCUUUGAUAAUGACUAAUCUCUCCUUUCUUGCCCUCCCGCCUCUGUCACUUACUGUUGCUUCUGUUUUUUGUAUCUUUGUCCUGCCCCUUAGCAUGACUAAAUACAGUCUCUCACACAUGCCCGCGCGCACACACAGUAGGAAGUUGGUCUGGCAGACAUAUUUCAGCCUCAAGGUUGUUAUUUCUGCUCGUGGCAACCUGUCACCCACCCACAUGCCCCUUCUCCCCAUAAAAGGAUCAGGGACACACAUACCUCGUACUUUUUUUGACGUCAUUUGAUUUAUUAGCCACAAUGAGGACACACACGCACACAGGCACAGCCAGAUUUGUUCGUUUAUUACAGUGAUUUUUUUAGAACACUGAGACCAUGCCAGAGUGGAGAGUAAGAAUGGAAGGCAUGCCGCGUGUCAUUGGUGCAUUUAUACUGAAGGUAGUGCCUAAAAUAACAACAUCGUUUUUAGUUUUAAACAAGUUUUUGCAUUUUUUUAUUUUUAUUUUUAUUUUUUAAAUAUUGCUUUCAUGACAGGUCGGUUAAUAUAUUUGUGAAACCCUGUAUGUAAUUUUUGAAGUUGUGCCUUCACCUCCUACAAUGGUGGCUCAGUUCAGAUACUGCUGUAUGAGUUCGUCAUUCAUUGACACAUUUCAGCUAUGCGUUUUGAGCAUUUACAUAUCUUAAAGCCAUGUUAACGUAUUUAACAAAUCCACUUCAAACUUACACUAAAAUUAAUAUUUAGUGUAAGGAAUUGUUGACCUUACGGCAACACCUGGCAUCUUUACUCGGUGUACAUUAAGUUCUGUUGUGUAUCUCAUAGACAGCAGAACACAGCUAAUUUUGAGUCGGCUGAAACAACUUUACUUUUGUCUUUUUAAACUCCGACUAAAGAUCAAGCCUUCUAUUGUCUUAGAGCAAAUACAGCAGGCCAAGUUUGUUGUUGUGCAGGCACACCACACAGAGGAUAUUGUACACGCAUAACAGUACACACAAAAAAAAGUUAGGGGUUUUUCAUGCUUCUCUUCAUUCCAACAUUUUCUGUGUCUUCAUCUCUA